rnacentral:rRNA from 1 species
AUGAACGCUGGCGGCGUGCCUAAUACAUGCAAGUCGAGCGAACAGACGAGGAGCUUGCUCCUCUGACGUUAGCGGCGGACGGGUGAGUAACACGUGGAUAACCUACCUAUAAGACUGGGAUAACUUCGGGAAACCGGAGCUAAUACCGGAUAAUAUAUUGAACCGCAUGGUUCAAUAGUGAAAGACGGUUUUGCUGUCACUUAUAGAUGGAUCCGCGCCGCAUUAGCUAGUUGGUAAGGUAACGGCUUACCAAGGCGACGAUGCGUAGCCGACCUGAGAGGGUGACCGGCCACACUGGAACUGAGACACGGUCCAGACUCCUACGGGAGGCAGCAGUAGGGAAUCUUCCGCAAUGGGCGAAAGCCUGACGGAGCAACGCCGCGUGAGUGAUGAAGGUCUUCGGAUCGUAAAACUCUGUUAUUAGGGAAGAACAAAUGUGUAAGUAACUAUGCACGUCUUGACGGUACCUAAUCAGAAAGCCACGGCUAACUACGUG